rnacentral:lncRNA from 1 species
GUUUUAACAAUGUGUACCGAAUUAUAGUAGACAAAAAUACCCUCAUUUGUCAUGGAUUCUAAGUUUUAAGGUUAAGGAUAUUUAAAUAAUUUUCAUUCUCAAAACUAAAAAGAAAAAAAAAGAAACCUCCAAACCCUUACUCACCUCCCUCAUUCCUCUCAACCCUUUCUCUUUCAUCUCUUUCACUUCAACAUUUUCUCUGUCAUCCUUGCUAUUGUCCCAAUUGAAAAAAAAAUCAGAAACCCUUCGUCAUCAAAGAUAUUUUCUCUCUCAUCUCAACAUUUUCUCUAUCAUCCCUCCAACAUUUUUUCUCUCAUCUCAACCCAAU